GACCAUCCCAGUUCGGAUCGCAGGCUGCAACCCGCCUGCGUGAAGUUGGAAUCGCUAGUAAUCGCGGAUCAGCAUGCCGCGGUGAAUACGUUCCCGGGCCUUGUACACACCGCCCGUCACACCAUGAGAGUCGGGAACACCCGAAGUCCGUAGUCUAACCGCAAGGGGGACGCGGCCGAAGGUGGGUUCGAUAAUUGGGGUGAAGUCGUAACAAGGUAUC
rnacentral:rRNA from 1 species